rnacentral:rRNA from 1 species
UACGGAGGAUGCGAGCGUUAUCCGGAUUUAUUGGGUUUAAAGGGUGCGUAGGCGGGCUAUCAAGUCAGCGGUGAAAGUUUGGGGCUUAACCUUAAAAUUGCCGUUGAAACUGUUAGUCUUGAGUGUAGAUAAAGUGGGCGGAAUUCGUGGUGUAGCGGUGAAAUGCUUAGAUAUCACGAGGAACUCCAAUUGCGAAGGCAGCUCACUGGGUUACAACUGACGCUGAGGCACGAAAGUGUGGGUAUCCAACAGG